rnacentral:piRNA from 1 species
UUGUUGUGGGGCCACCCUGUGCAUGGUAGA